rnacentral:rRNA from 1 species
ACACUGUAAACGAUGAAUGCUAGAUGUUGGCGAUAUACAGUCAGUGUCACAGAGAAAUCGUUAAGCAUUCCACCUGGGGAGUACGCCGGCAACGGUGAAACUCAAAGGAAUUGACGGGGGCCCGCACAAGCGGAGGAACAUGUGGUUUAAUUCGAUGAUACGCGAGGAACCUUACCCGGGCUUGAAUUGCACUCGAAUUACUUGGAAACAGGUAAGCCGCAAGGCGAGUGUGAAGGUGCUGCAUGGUUGUCGUCAGCUCGUGCCGUGAGGUGUCGGCUUAAGUGCCAUAACGAGCGCAACCCACAUCAUCAGUUACUAACAGGGCGAUUACAUCAAUGCUGAGGACUCUGGUGAGACUGCCGUCGUAAGAUGAGAGGAAGGUGUGGAUGACGUCAAAUCAGCACGGCCCUUACGUCCGGGGCGACACACGUGUUACAAUGGGGGGUACAGAGAGUUGCCAGGCGGUGACGUCGAGCUAAUCUUGAAAACCUCUCUCAGUUCGGAUUGGAGUCUGCAACUCGACUCCAUGAAGCUGGAUUCGCUAGUAAUCGCGCAUCAGCCAUGGCGCGGUGAAUACGUUCCCGGGCCUUGUACACACCGCCCGUCAAGCCAUGGGAGUCGGGGGGACCUGAAGUUCGUAACCGCAAGGAGCGACCUAGGGUAAAACAGGCGACUGGGGCUAAGUCGUAACAAGGUAACC